GGCAGCACAGAGGAGCUUGCUCCUUGGGUGGCGAGUGGCGGACGGGUGAGGAAUACAUCGGAAUCUACUCUGUCGUGGGGGAUAACGUAGGGAAACUUACGCUAAUACCGCAUACGACCUACGGGUGAAAGCAGGGGAUCUUCGGACCUUGCGCGAUUGAAUGAGCCGAUGUCGGAUUAGCUAGUUGGCGGGGUAAAGGCCCACCAAGGCGACGAUCCGUAGCUGGUCUGAGAGGAUGAUCAGCCACACUGGAACUGAGACACGGUCCAGACUCCUACGGGAGGCAGCAGUGGGGAAUAUUGGACAAUGGGCGCAAGCCUGAUCCAGCCAUACCGCGUGGGUGAAGAAGGCCUUCGGGUUGUAAAGCCCUUUUGUUGGGAAAGAAAUCCAGCCGGCUAAUACCUGGUUGGGAUGACGGUACCCAAAGAAUAAGCACCGGCUAACUUCGUGCCGGCAGC
rnacentral:rRNA from 1 species